rnacentral:tRNA from 1 species
CCUAACGUGGUGUAAUCCAGGCAACACGCUUCGCACAGCGAGGAAUAGCGGGUUCAACUCCCGUCGUUAGGAC